rnacentral:rRNA from 1 species
GAGUUUGAUUAUGGCUCAGGAUGAACGCUGGCGGCGUGCGUAACACAUGCAAGUUGGACGACGGUAUCAUGAAGUGGUAACACGGAGUGAUGUACGGAGUAGCGGACGGGUGAGUAUAACAUGAGAAGCUGUCCUGUCGAGGGGGAUAACGUUCGGAAACGGACCCUAAUACCCCAUAGGCCUUAGGGUUAAAGCAGCGAUGCGCGACAGGGGGUGCUCGUGACCUAUCAGCUGGUUGGUGAGGUAACGGCUCACCAAGGCGACGACGGGUAGCCGGCCUGAGAGGGUGACCGGCCACACUGGAACUGAGAUACGGUCCAGACUCCUACGGGAGGCAGCAGUGGGGAAUAUUGGGCAAUGGGAGGAAUCCUGACCCAGCGACGCCGCGUGAACGAAGAAGGCCUUCGGGUCGUAAAGUUCUUUUAUGUGGGAAGAAGGAAGUGACG